rnacentral:rRNA from 1 species
UACGUAGGGGGCAAGCGUUGUCCGGAUUUACUGGGCGUAAAGAGCGUGUAGGCGGCCAAAACAGGUCCGUUGUGAAAACUGGAGGCUCAACUUCCAGACGUCGACGGAAACCGUGUGGCUAGAGUCCGGAAGAGGAGAGUGGAAUUCCUGGUGUAGCGGUGAAAUGCGCAGAUAUCAGGAGGAACACCGGUGGCGAAGGCGGGUCUCUGGGCCGAUACUGACGCUGAGGAGCGAAAGCGUGGGGAGCGAACAGG